CAAAAGGAGAGCCUGCUGAUGCCAACUGCCACGGACAAGUCUUCUAUACAAUCGCUGACAAUGUCAGCUCACAUUUGUGGAGUGCUUUCCAUAGAAGAGUCAGGGUACUAGCCAGCUUCCAUGCAUGGCCUCAUUUAAUCCUUACUACAACCCUAUAAGGUAGGUAUUAUUAUUAUCCCUGAUUUACAGAUGGGCAAAUUGAGACCUUCAGAUGCCAACUCGUUGCUGGAGGCCUCACAGUCCCUGUGUGCUUGACCUGAGCUUUGACACCAGGUAGGUCGCCUCAGAUCUUCUGGUCAUCUUUGGUUGGAGAGCAACACUCAGUUUCAUUACCUGAAACCUGUCUGUUGCCAGUGCAGUCACGAGGACAAAUAUUUAAAGAGAAAAUGAGGAAGUGAAGGAAGAGGUGUUCCCAUAGGUGGCCUGCCGUGAGCUUGUCACAGAUUUUCAGACUGGACCGAAUGGACUCUGGGUCUUGGGACCAACAGAUGAAUGCUGGUGAUCCUCUACUGGGUGAAAAAGGAAUCAAUCAACAAUACAGGUUCUGAGGAAGUCCCCUGAGUGUCAUAUCCCAAGGGAGAUGAAAAGCACCUGACAAGGGUUUAUGCUUGCUCUUCUGAGUUGCUCGAGAAAAUACAGGCUGUCCAGUGAAAUUUGAAUUUUAUUUAUUUAUUUAUUUAUUUAUUUAUUAAAAAAAUAUUUUUUCUUAAUGUUUAUUUAUUAUUGAGAGACAGAGACAGAGCAUGAGCAUGGGAGGGGCAGAGAGAGGAGAAGACACAGAAUCUGAAGCAGGCUCCAGGCUCUGAGCUGUCAGCACAGAGCCUGAUGUGGGGCUUGAAUUCACAAACCGUAAGAUCAUGACCUGAGUCGAAGUCGGACGCUUAACCGACUGAGACACCCAGGCUCCCUAAAUUAGAAUUUUAGAUAAAUUCAACAAAUAAAUUUUUAGUAUAUUUGUAUUUUGUAUAUUUGCAUUUAGUAUAUUUCCAAAUAUUACAGGGGAUAUACAGAUAUAUUUAUACCGAUGAAUUUUGUUGUUAAUUUAAAAUUCAAAUAGCACUGGGAGUCUUGUAUUUUUAUUUGCUAAAUCUGACAUCCAAGUUUCUUUCGGGAGAUAGCUCACAACCCAGGCAGUCUGUUAAUAAAGACAGGCUGGGUAGUACAGAUAGUGGGGCCUUUGAAGAAGGGAGAGUUCUGGAUGUAAAUCCAAGAAGGUAACACAAUCUCCUGGGUAACAGACUCAGUGGAAGAGUCCUUUUUUUCUUUUUAAUGUUUAUUUAUUAUUUUUGAGAGAGAGAGAUAGAGAACAUGAGCGGGGAGGAGCAGAGAGAGGGGGACAGAGGAUCCAAAGUGGACUCUGUGCUGACAGCAGUGAGCCCAAUGCAGGGCUCGAACUCACGAACCGUGAGAUCAUGACCUGGGCCGAAGUCAGAUGCUCAACCGACUCAUCCCAGCGGGAGAGUCUUUGUGAUGGGAAGGCUUCCUGGCACAGCUGGUUCUUAAUGAUAGGAGGGAAGGAUCCAGAAGGGUAGAGAGAGGGGAAGGCUCAAGGCAAUGUGGGGACAGCGAGCCAACAAGGAGAUGUCUAGAGGACCUUCAGGUUGGGGAGGACCAGAGGUGAAAGAUAGGUCUGUGGAGGGUCCUGAGUAUCCUGCUGGGGAUUUUGGACAAUGUCUUUUGGACAAGGAUGGGUGACCAGCUGAAGUAGUAUUUUAGGAAGGUUAAUCUGGUGAUGGCACCUAAGAUUGGUGGGAACGGUGAAUGGGAUGGUAGCUGAGCAUGAUGUGGUGAAGGUCUGUGGGAAACGGUGACCAGAAGGACAUUCCAAAGCAAUGGCCUCAUCUUUCAGGUAGAAUAUCCAGGUGCCCAUCAUGAAGAUAGGUGGCCUGAUGUGGCUGUCUCCUAUCAAGUGGGAGAUCUGGGCCCUCCUGGGUACAGAAGAGGAGAAGACACCCAUGGGUGCAGGAUCUCAGAGGGAAGAUUUUCAUGUUGGAGGCACCCUCCAACAGAAAUCUGUCACCACAGACUUGUUCUAUUCUACCCUCAUCUCUGCAACACGCACACGCACACACACACACAUACACACACACACACCACUGUUGCAUAUUCAGCUUGUAUAGGUUUCCACAGAGAGCGAACUCCUGUUUUAACCUCAGAUAAUAUUUACUAGGGACACAAUUUCAGCCUUGCAAUCUAUUGUUUUGCUUCCCUUGGAGCCAGUCUUUUAAAGAUUCAUUCCACUGCCAAAGCUGUCACCAGCUUGGCAUAUGACCCUUCUUCUGUGGGUCCUCCCACGGCUAAUACAACUAUUUCUUGUAAAAGGUUUUGAGAUCCUCUAAAGAAAAGUACUGGGGCAGCACGUAAGAUUACUGCUACAUGGCCAGCUUAUCCCUUGCUUUGGCCUUCGCACCAAGCCAAUCCUGAAAAGCCCACUCAGCUGUUCUAGGUUUUCCCAGAAGAGCCACCUGGGCAAGAAAGGAGAGGCCCAGACUUGUUGGACAUGGAAACUGUUCCAGCCCUUUCCUGGGACUGGGUGGGACAGGACAGACCCACAGGGGCAGGGCAGGAGGGAGGAGGCUCCUCCAGCAGGGGCCAGGCCCUGGGUACCCUGGCUCUAUCUGAUCUUCUCCCUACCCUGGGGCAAUUGAGGGCUGGGCUUACAGCAAGGGUGACUUUCCAGAAAGGCCUGGAGGAAGGGUGUGGCCCCAGUGAAGAAGGAGGGAGAACAUUACCCCCACCCCCCACCCCCGCCCCCCCAGCAGGUCUUCAGUUCUCGGUGAAAGUCAGGUGUUGAAACCCUAACUCAAACCCACCAUUUCCUGCCUCCUGCCUACAGGUCUUAGGCCAGGUGAUGGCCAUCUCUUUCUCCCACUGGGCAGAAUGGGUGUGCGUGUGUCUCAGUGUGUUCCCUGGACUGACCAAGGCCAAGGUGGUCUUGAGGGAACAACGGCUAGCUUGUUCACACCAGGACAGCUUGACCUUGGCAUCAAGGCGACCUCAACUUCAGUGGUGAGAAUGGGAGGGGGGAAAGCAGUGCGCAAACUGCCCAUUUAUCCUCACAGUGUCAGCCUCUUUCCCACGGGAAACACUCACGGGCUCACCCUGCCCUCACACCCCAGUGCCCAAGAGCUAAACCGUGCUGCCCGUCAGGGGUCCUAUCCCAGCCCCACAGCCCCGCAGCCUUUCCCUAUUCUUUCGGCAGCCCUGGCCUAGGUACCCUUUCCCCGAAUGCCCUUCCUCCAUCGACUUCUCUGCCUGGAGAACUCCUUAGCGGACAACACCUGUCCCGAAGUCAUCUCUUCCCUGAAGCCUGCCAAUUUCCUCCUUUGACACCUUCUUCUUAGGGCUCUCUUCUGUCCUCUGGGGAGAGAGCACGUGCAAAGCCGGUUGUCUGGGAAGCUCUGAGCCCCCAGCUUCCAGCCCCAUGCAAGUCUCCACCAUUGCUCCCUGCCACUUCCCUGAUCCAGCCUGAGUGCCCUGAAUGUGUGGGGCCUAGCCUGACUGGACUUUUAGGGUCUCCGGGAGACGAUGUCUAGCAACUGGGGCUUUCGGGUCCCUCUCGCGUUCCAGUGGCCUCCCCAGAGGUGGGCUGCUGACCAAGCAGGAAGUACCCAGGUCAGUGCCGGUGCACACCAUCUGUGGCUUGUCUCAGCCUCACACCCGCCUUCUCUGGCUCAUCUCUGAGGCACCGGGUUCCUCCUUUAUCCCCCAGACUCCUCCACUGACCGCUCCCUGGCCUUUCUUGCUGAGUCAGCCCUCCGCUAAUUGCCACCAGCUGGCCAGGCUGCCUUCCCGAGAUGCAGCGGGCUGCCUGCACUUGGAAGCUGACUCUGGGUGGCCCAAUGCUGGGGGAAUUGGCAUUGCUUCCCCCAGGGAAGGUUGGGGAGACAUCCCAGGCAGGCCUGGGGGUAAGGUGAGGUGGGGAGAAAGGCCUAGGAGACUAGGGGAAGGGCCUGGGGGACACCAAGGGUUCCCCUUCUAUUCUCAUAGGCCUUUCUUUAUAGUUGUGGUUCUCAAUGAGGUGGGUGAUUCCCUCUCCCCACCCUCACCUGCCCGGGGCAUCUGGCAAGGUCUGGAGAUAUUUCUGGUUGUCACAGCCGGCAAGCGGAGGGGAGAGGCUACUGGCACUCAGAGCGUGGAGGCUGCAGAUGCUGCUAAACAUCCUGCAAGGCACAGGACAGCCUCCACGACAAAAGAUUAUUUGGUCCACAGUGUCAACAGCGCCGAGGUUGAAAGACCCCACUUUAGAGAAAAGAGGCUGGGGCUGGCUGGGACGGUGGGCUCGAGUGGGUUUUCGUUCGUUUGGGGGGUGACUUGUUCUGAGGGCACCUGGGCAGCCUUCUCUGCCCCUUUUGGGUCCUCACGGGGAGCUCCUGGCACUCUCCACUGGCUCCCAUCCCGACCUCCAUAGUCCAGGCUGGGGACAAUUUCUACAGCCAGCAGAUAUUAUAUGCUGAGAAACACUCUUACCUUCCAUCAUUUUGCUCCAUAUCAGCCCAUAGUCUCGGAAAGGAAGCAAGGACUUUCUUCCCAUUCUUCCAAAAACGUUGGACAUAAAGGAGCCAUUUUUUCUUUUAUCGCCUGUAUGAUAAUUAUACUCACCACCACACACCGAUUGCUUAUUUUGCACCUGCAACUUCCACACACAUGAUAUGAUAUCGUUGUCACAACAAUGCUAUGAAAUGGUCACUAUUACUCCUUGGAAAAAAAAACCUAGCUGAGGUCCAGACCGGUUAUGUAACUUGCCCCAGUCAUGUAGGUAGAAGGGGUGCUGCUGAGAUUGGGACCAAGUCUCUGGCCCCCAAAUCGGUAAUGGGACACCCUCAAAGAUUUCUCCUGCAGGAGUCAGCAUCAUAGAGGAACUUUCUGUGUGAAAAGGACCACAGGGCCUCUUGUAUCUGCCAGAACUGUAUGGGUAUGGGUAGGGGUGACCAGGAGAGAGGCUUUGGGCCCCUAGGAAAGAGGAGGCUACCAGAGGACACGACCGAUUCCCGGAAGGGGUGACUAAUGCUGCCAUGAGUCAGCCUGGGCCUGGAAAGGGUCCUCUUCCUUCUCGGGGGGCCUAUGCUCUCUAGCCCUGGGGUGGAUCAGGUGAAGGACCAGAUGCCCCUCCCAGAGAGCAGUGGUCUGGCCCUCGUCUAUCCAGGCAUCAUCCGGGGAGCUCUUGCUGGGCUGCUGACUGCUGCUGGAGCUUGGAGGCUGCAGGAGGCAGGCGGUAAACAGGAAAUGGUUAAGUAAGAGCAGGUGGAACAUGCCGGGUGCUGGAGCAGGGCAGGAAAUAGCUAAGCGGCUGAAUGGACUCAAAAGAAUGCUCUGCCCUCCUCCCUGAGGCUUUGGCCAAGGGCUGUCCACCCACCCCUCCCUGCCCUGCACUGAGAGGCGCGUAGCCCAGCAGCCGCCUGACCCCCCACCGACCUCCUCCGUUCUGCUGGGGCUGGGAGGUGCUGGGAGGAGAGGGUCCAGGGUACCAGAAAGCCCAGCGGGGACUGAUAGGGCGAGAAGGAGGGGGUUCCUUCCCUUCAGGGUUGUGAGCCGGUCCCAUCUCCAGGGGCCCGGGUGUGAGGGGUUGGGGGUGGGCAGGCUCUCCAGGCCCCAGAGGUUGUUUUCCUCCUCCUGGUUCUUUGUUCCCUAGGCGGCCCUUUGUAUUGACUGGGGCUCCUACCCUGGGCUGCACCAGAACAGCAACAGUGGCCUGGGAUCUGGACAGAAAAGGCUGGGCGCCCCAGGGUGCUCUCCUGCUCUCCCCUUUGCUCCUUAUAGCGGUGGGUGCCCCGGAAGAGGGGUGACGCUCUCCUCCAAGGUGAGAUGAGGAGCCUGGGGUCAAGAAGUUGAGUGGCUCACGCAGGGAAAGGGAGCUGGGGCCUGAACCCCCCUUUUGCCUCCAUGCCCUUCCCCUGCCCCCCUCUGCACUUCGGUGCCUCUCCUGUCGAGAGAAUUGUCUUCUCUCUGCCCUGGAGUAAAAUCAGUGGUGCUCUGGGUAUUCUUUUGACCCCUUUCUCGGGGGACCUACCCUCAUGGGCAAACAGGGCUCUGCUUCCCAAGGGUCCUCUUGCAAGUGGGCUUCUCCACCCAGCAAAUGGUCCCAAUGCUCUGGUGUUGAAGUGUCACUGACACAUCACUGAGGACUCCGGGGCAUCCAGGUAUGAAUGCCAAGCCCAGGCCUCAGCAGGAAGGAUUCCCUGGGUACCUGACGGGUACACAGGGACACUGAGGCAGGUGUAGCCUGUUCCCAGUGCUGGUUGUUCCUUUUCCCCACCACAUGGCUCCUGGGUCCAGCAGUCUUGCAAUGGGGAGUUGAAGGACUUAGCUCCUGCCUGAGGGUUGGGGGAGCUGUUUUUCAGACAGCGGUGGAUGUCAAGGGUAUCUCAAUCCCCAAAUAAUGGUAAUGACCCAAGGUUCUAUUUAUUUACAGCCAGUAUAUAUUUAAGCAUGUACAUGUAUUUAUUGAUACAUGGAUUGACUCAUAUAAUGCCUACAGCAACCCAAAGAAGAGGCACUUUGUUAUUCCCAUUUUACAGAUGAGGACACUGAGGCAUAGAGAAGGGAAGUAGCCUGCCCUAGUGGUAGGGCAGCAGUGGGCUCAGGUACUUUGAAUUCAGACCUGGGCAGCUGGGUCUGGCCCACACUCUGGCCGCUAUGCUGUAUUGCUUGUGUGGGAGCCUUUGGAGGAAGCCAUGUCUGUUCUCCUCGAUGUCCCUCGUAAGAUCCCUAUUCUUUUUUUUUUAUUUAAAAAAAUUUUUUUUAAUGUUUUAUUUAUUUUUGAGACAGGGAGAGACAGAGCAUGAACAGGGGAGGGUCAGAGAGAGGGAGACACAGAAUCUGAAACAGGCUCCAGGCUCUGAGCUGUCAGCACAGAGCCCGACGCGGGGCUCGAACUCACGGACCGUGAGAUCAUGACCUGAGCCAAAGUCGGCCUCUUAACCGACUGAGCCACCCAGGCGCCCCAAGAUCGCUAUUCUUUAGGAAAAAUUCCUUGUCUCUCAGGAGCCAGAAUUUCCUGAACAUCCUUCAAUAUAUCUGAGGCUCUCUAGGUCUCUGAUUAAGAACACAAGAAAAGAGAAGGAGAAAAUAGCCGAAAAGCUUGUCACCUCUCCAGGCUGGGCCAUGAGCAUGGCAUCUUCCACCCGCCACUGUUUUGGGGCACGGGGGAAAUUCUGCCAUCAAUUCUGUUCAUUCAAGAGCCGUGUGUUGGCACCAACUUUGUGCCAGGCCCUGGGCUGGGCACCGGGAGGAGCCAGUUAAGGUAGACACACUGUGUGCCCUGGGGUGUUGGCGGUAGCAGAAGACUCAUUUCGUGUGUCUAUUGAUUGAAUGUGGUAGAUGCUCAGAUAGAGGGAAGGGUGCGGGUGGGGAGCGUGGAAGCAGAGAAUUGGCACUCGGCCAGCCUGGGAAGUCAGAGAAGUUGUCCUGCAGGUGAACAGGCUUAGCUGAACCUUGAAGGAUGAUCCAGGUUAACCUGGAGGAAGAAGAGGGGUGGGUGUGGGUGGCAGGGGUGAGGCCCUCCAGGCAGAGGUGACAGUGCAGGCAAAGGCGUGGAGGCCUGACAUGCUGAUGAAAGCAGAGCACAGAAGCACUUCAGCACUGCUAGAAGCAGAGCGACAGGAGAGGAGUCAGUGGCAUUGGUAUCACAGGGCCAGCGAGGCCACAUCAGGGCCCUGGAACUUUGUCAGCCUCUGCCUCCUGGCCUGGAAGACCCCUGCAAAGAGAAGGGACUUGGGGGGGAAAUAGUGGCAAGAAAAGGACUCACACUGUUUCAAGAGUUACUAUGAAGCUACAGUAAUCAAACAGUAAUCAAACAAAGAGAAUUCAAUGGGGGAAAGGAUAGUCUUUUGAAAAAAAAACGGUGCUAGAAAACUUGGACAUCCAUAAUGGGAAAAAAAAGGCCUUGGCUUAUAACUCAAAAAAUAUGAAACACAAAAACAUAGAAGGUAUGAAAGAAACAGCCUAAAAGUACAAAAGAAGAAAACACAGGAGAAAAAUCUCUAUGACUUGGGGUAGAUAAAGAUUCUUGGUUAUGACACCAGAGGCACAAUCUAGGAAGGAAAAAGUGGACCAAUUAGACUUAACCCAAAUUAAAAACUUUUGGUUUUCGAAAGACACUGUUAGGAAAAUGAAAAGACAAACCACAGACUGGGAAAAAAUGUUUGCAAAAUCUGUAUCUGACAGAAAGGACCUAUAUUUAGUAUAUAUAAAAAAAAUUCCCCAAACUCAGUAGUAAGAAAACAGUUCGAUUUUUGAAAUGGGCAGAAUAUUUGGACACAAAUUUCACCACAGAAAAAAUACGGAUGGCAAAUAAACACAUGAAAAGAUGUUUAACAUCAUUAAUCGCUAAAUUAAAAUCAUAAUGAGAAUCCACUAUAUACCUUUUAGAAUGGCUAAGAUUAGGGGUGCCUGGGUGGCUCAUUUUGGUGUGUGGGACCCUUGGUUUGGGCUCAGGUCAUGAUCUCAUGGUUCAUGAGUUUGAGCCCCGCAUCAGGCUCUGUGCUGACAGGGUGGAGCCUGCUUGGGUUUCUCUCUCUCUCUGCCCCCUCCCCUGCUUGUUCUCUCUCUUUCAAAAUAAAUAAAUAAACUUAAAAUAAAAUAGAUGGAUUUUACCAUAUGUAAAUUAUAUCUUAAUAAACCUGACUUAAAAAAAAACCACAGUGCAUUAGGUUAUAGAACUUCAUCUGAUAACUCAGUUCUAGGUCUGGGAGCUGGGGAGACUUACCUCAGGACCAGUUCCUGAUGGCCAUUCUGCCUCCUCAGACCCCACCCCAACCCUGAGAGCCUCAGCAAGCUCUGGCAGAAGCCUUGCUCUUUGUGAUUUCAGAGGGCUGGUAGGGGAACCAUUAAUGAACCCCUCCUCUGGAGUGUUGUGGUCCUUGUUUCUACUAAAUGCAAAUGCCCCGGGGAGGGUGAAUAGCUUAAGUUGAGGGAGGCUCUGGCAGAAUGAGAGAGGGGGAUGGCAGGAUGGAAAGGGAGACAGUUUCCAAGAGGUUGGAGAAGGGUGGGGGUGAGGGUGGGGGUGGAGGUAGGGGUAGGAAUUAAGUGUUCAGCUUGGUUGGUGGCACUGGGCUGUACCCAUGCUUUGUGAGCAUGGCGGGGGUGAGGGACUAGAAGCUACAUGGAGGGUAGACCCCCCCUCAUUGUUUUGGCUUAGUAUGCAAAAUUCUCUUUCCCCACCUGGCAACCACAGCCCCUGCCUGGGGUUCCUUCCCCGGCACCUUCUUCCUCCACUUCCUAACCAUCCAAUCCCAAGUACUGGUUACCCAGGCAGGUUGGGGGGAUGAUUUCCUUAUAGCAUCCAAACACAAAAGACCUCAGCAUCCUCUCACCCGCAUAUUUCCGCUCCUUUGGGUCCUUCAGGGUUCAGCUCACCUUAGGCAUUUCUGUCUUGUUGGAAAUUUCCUUGCUGAGAGGAACAGAAGGUCUGAGCAGGCAUCGGGGCCCCAGGCCUCAGUGGUCUUGUGAUGCAAAGUAUGGGGUGGGAGGAUUGGUUGGGGCAUCUGCUUGGCUUGUAUUUGUUUCUACAGCAUUCUCUGCAAAUGUGCCAUUGACUUUCCCACCACAGGGCCUUUGCACACGCUGUUCUCUCUCUCUAGGGCUUCACACUUUCUGAAGUUUAACUCCCCCUAACCACCAUUUACUAUGUCUUACUGUGUGCAUGGUAUGGAGAAUGCAGAAAGAAAUAAGACUAGUCUUUUUAUGGUAAAAAAAAAGACCACUUUAUGGCCUCUGGAGGUGGUGGUAAUAACAACGGCAGAGGCAACAAGAAAGGCAGGACCACUGAAGGAGGGGGUCACCCUGUGUCAGGCAUUUAUACAUACAGUGUCAUUCAAAACUUACAACAGUCCUGAACGCCUGUCAUUACUGUUAUUCCCAUUUUCUGAGGACACUGAAGUUCACAGAGGUGAAGUCGUUUGUUGAGCUGGCACUUGGCAGGGUUGGGACUCGGGGCCAGGCCUCUGGCUCUUCAAAGCCAUGUUUCUGACCAUAGCAGCUUCUCACCCUCUGCCCCAUGUGGAGAAAAGUCACCAUUCAAGUCCAACUCCACCCUGGCAGGUCUUCAAGUUGAUCUGCAUUGGAAGGAGUGAAAAACGAAGAGAAUGCUGGUCUAUCCCAUGGGGUGCAGGCCGUAGCUGGAGGUGCCAGCCCAAGACUGGGCAAAGGGGGGGCUGGGCACGGAUGCUGCACACCCUGGCCAGCCGGCCCCCACCAGCCCUGCAGAACCCUUCCCACUCAGCGUAUUCACAGGGGACAUUUUCCCAAGGUGUGAAAUACAGGACUGCCUGUUCAGGGGGACCAGAGGCUUUGGGAAGGCAUUCCGAGGAUGAGCCUCCCUGACUCGGUGCUCUUGCAUUGCAUAGUUUGGACAGAGGGAAGGCUUAUACUUGAUGUUGAGCCCAUAACAGACCGAUAAGUCAUGCUUGGGCUCCCAAAGUCCUGGUUGGGCUCUGCUGUCUAGGAAACCAAAGCUGAUCAUUCAUGAAUAAUGUGGGCGUGACAUUGUGUAACAGGGCUGGUUGAUGGGCUGGGGGGGUGACUCAUUUCUGGAGGCCUUGAAUCAGACCACUGUUAUUUCCUUUGGCUUCCAGUGGACCUAACCCAGACUCCCCUAAACACCUACCUGCUUCAGUCACUGAAUCAGAGAUGUGGGCUCUGGGAGGCUGUGGAGAGCUGUGGCCUUAAUGCGGGCCAAGGCCAGUUAGAGAAAGAUGCUCUCUAGGAGGUGACGUUACAGGCUUCACAGAGGGGCUGGUGGGACAACCCAGGAAGAGGGGGCUUGAUCCAGGUGAGGGUAUAGAUAUUAAGACCCCACAGGGCAGAAGGGAGUGCAGGGUUUUGGUUGGAGCCAAGAGAGCUCAGAGGGAAAAGAGACAAAAUGUGAUCCUUGAGAAAGAUUAGACUCUCUUUUCUCUCCUCCUCUACCCUCCUCUCAUGAGCCGGAGGGAGGGGAAGCAGAACUAAGAAGAGUCUCCGGAUAAAGGCAGCCUUUGGAGAGGACAGGGCUUCAUGCCUGCAUUGCAGCUGUCUUGAAAAUGUCCCCGAGUGAGACCUGAGCAGGCGGAGCCCGGAGCUGGUGAACUGAAUGCCUGUGUGGGGCCGUCAGGCCACCUGCAAGCAGGGGCUCCCACAGGAGCAAAGCAGGGUGACCCUCGUCCUGGGGUAGCUCCCUGAGGGCAGGGUGGAGUCUUGUCUUCUCAGUGCCUUCCUCCCUCCCUCCCUCUCUCCCUCCCUGCACACCAUCAGUGCAUGAUGAGCUUUGGACCCAAUAAGCAAAAGCUCAUCAAGAAGAGGCCCAGAAGAGGGCAAUGGAGGAAGAUACUGGAAGGGUGACUCUGCAGCAGUCACCAGACUGAAGAUGCCCUUGGAGCCAAGUGCAGAGGCCAAGAGGGACAGUUGACAAACUGUGCAAGUCCAAGUGGAAGGUGCCAGGCCACACACAGUGUCCCGUUAUGGUCAGGAAUGGUGCCCGGCUUUCAGGUCAGGAUCUCUCAGUUCGUUGGAUCGAGGCCAGCGUUGGGCUCUGCGCUGACAUCAUGGAGCCUGCUUGCGAUUCUCUCUCCCUCUCUCCCUCUGCCCCUCCGCUGCUUGAGUGCACUCUCUCUCUCUCAAUAAACAAACAAGCAAACAAACUGAAAAAAAGGAACGGUGCCCGGCUUUAAGCAAAUUCGGGAUGUGUGGUAAUUAUCCAAAUUAUCUCGAUUGUAUGAAAAACACUGUACAAAGAUGGACCCCUCCUGAGACAUCUAAAAUUAUUACUUGAAUUGUGCCAUUUUAGCACCCAGACAGCUUUGGGGGAACAUAUCUAAUGCAUGAAGCCUGUUGUGGUCACAGAAAAUGGACGAAUGACAGGUUAUUUAACUCCUGGGUCUUUGUUUCGCUACCCAUCUCAUUCUGGGACCUCAGAAGCCUCACGCCCAGGACAGUUUGCUCCACAGAGAGCCUGGACCCCCUCUAGAUGACACAGGCUGCAGAAAUGGGGGUUGUGGGCAUAUGGUCCACAGGCUGGACCUGGGCUGGGAGGUCUAUACGCGCUGCAGCAGGAAGCUGAAACGCUGACAGGGUAGGUAGGCUUCCUUGCUUUGGGGCACCAGCCCAGGCUGGAAGGGACUUAGGGAGCCUUGUGCCACCCCUUCUGGAGAUUUCCUCCUCCUGUAAGAUUGUAAAGGCUGCUCUGUGGCUGUGUGGCCUCGGGCAGCAUGGUCUGCUCCUGCUCCUUCCCACCCCCUGUCUAUAUACACUGCCAAGCCCUGUGUAGUUUACCUGUCUCCCUCACCUCUUUUCUGGGAGAGAGGCGGUUCCAUUCAUGGGUUGUACUGAUGAUCGAAUCCAAGGGGUUGGAGAGAGAGAGUACUUUCUGAGAGACGCCUCUGGGAGAACAGCCCAUCUGACUCAGUGUUUCCUGGUGGAGCGGGGUAAACAAAGCAGGGUCUGAGCACAGGUCGUCAUACAAAGAAGCCAGAGGUGAGGGUCAACAGGACGGUGUGGGUUAGAACACAGCAUUCUACUCUCUUUCCCUACAUUGUUCCCUACCUUCCUUGGCCCCUCUUGGCUGUAUCCUCUGAAGCUUGGCCACAACUCCCAGGUUCCUUGGUGUGGUAUCCACAGCCUUGCCCCCUGCCCUCGCAGGCUGAUCUCCCAACGCCUCCCUCCACACUCUCAUGUGCUGGCCAUCCCCAUCCACCUCAUCUGGGCACCAGUGGUGGGCUUGGGCGCCUCCAAGCCUUUGCACCUGACGUUCCCUCAGCCUGAAACACACUUGUUUCUCUGACAAGCCAUUCAUCUUUCAAACCCAAAUCAAAUCUCCCUAUCUGGAGUCUUCCCUGGAUCCCCACAGACAGGGUUAGGCAGCCUCAGGGAGAGUUGCCAGCCUCACUGAGAGAUGGUUGACCUUGCUGCACUGUAAUUAAUCGUUGGCCCUACAGUCUGAUGCCCCCAUCAGAGUCAUUCUCCCCUCAGGAGCGCCUGCUGCAUCUGGCAGUAGUAAGCCCUCAAUAAACGGUCCUGUGAAUGAAUGAAUAAAUGAAUGAACGAACUAGUGGCAGCUUGAGAAAAGGAAACAGAGAUGUCGCCUUCAUGGGGAAACCUGCUUCUGGGAACCUUAUUUGGGGUGUCCUCUCUAGCGGUGGGCUGCUUCAGGCACCGCUUCUCCUCCUCCUGCCCUCAGGGCAGAGAAGUUUCUCAAGAUGCUGUGCCACCUGCCCCACCUCCUCCAGGGACUUCUUCCUCGCUGCUUGCUGGUGGCUCUGCUGGUCAGUCCAAGGCAGCACUUGUACAUUUGUUGGGGACUUACUGCCCAAGAAAGCCUGGGAAUCUGGUGUGGGUUAGAUCGGAGGAAGGACCUUACUCUCUGCAGUGAGACUGGAGAGGAAUGCCCAGAUGUUGCAGCAAGCAGACAGGAAGGGGAGGUUCGGCGGGGGGGGGGGGGGGGGGGGGGGGGGGGGGGANNNNNNNNNNNNNGGGGGGGAGGGGGGGGAGGAGGGUUGGGGGGGAAAUUGGGAAAUCUUAAGGACAAUUGAUUGAGCUGAGGUUGGGAAGGAGGGGACUUUGGGGGUGGUGGCAGGGCUGGGGAGGAAGGGAGUGAAUGUGUGGGGCUGGAAGUGGGAAGGGAAGGUGUUGGUGAGGUUUCACUGGGAGGGAAGAAGGGAACCAGAAUGCAGGUGGCUCAGAGGCCCAGCUCUGCAGCAGCUGAAUAUUCAAUGCCCGCAAAGAUUCGGAGGGAGAGCUGGAAAGAGGAAAUGAAUCAGGGAAGCACAGGGGCCGGGAUCUUAGUGGAGGGCAGCAUAGUUUGGAAGUGCUAACUGCCCGAGAGGUUGCAGGGCCCAUUGGCAGAGGAGCCGGAAAUAGACUUUAGGACACUGCCAGGCCAGUAAUGGUUCUGGAUAUUCUCCCUUUUCCUCACAACAGGGCCUCUGGGAACCUGAGGGAUUUGGGUCUAGCCCCCUGAGGGAUUGCCGCCCCACACUGCUGAGGAGUGCCAGCGGCCUGUUUCCUCACCUGCCCCCCUCCCCNNNCCCCCCCCCCCCCCCCCCCCCCCCCCCCCCCCGCACUCCCCCUCCUCAGCAGUUUAUAUACUAAUAGCCCACAGCACCCCAGGAGGGGGCGAACGGGGGUCCAUUUGUUUUUCCAGAGUUUGACCUCUGGGUAAAACUCUUCCCCCAAAAUGUGCCGGUUUAAGUGAAAGCGAUAAAUCAGCCCCUUUGAAAUGCAGAAGCAGCUUGGGGAAGCCCCCUUUGAUAUGCAGCUUGGAAACGGGGCACUUAAAACCUGGGUUAAUUCUCCAGCUUUAUUGGAGGCCGAGAAAGGGAAGAGGAGGAAACCCAGGGCCAGUCAUUAAGUCUGGGGCACUUGAAAGGCCCGGGGCAGGGGCCGAGCGGCCGCAAAGAGAUCACGAAGGCGCAGCGGCCCUGGGAAAAGCAUCUCUGUCCGCGACAAACUCUAAUCCCGGUUCCCACCCAGACAGAUGAGACGCGGGGGGCGGAGGGUGGGGGGAAGCGGUGGAGAGGAGGGGCGGGCAGGCCGAGAGAGGCUCCCGAGGAUGGGGAGGCGGUUGCUAUGGAAACCGAGCCGGGGCGCCACAGAGGAGAAAGCCAAGGGCCAACUUGGCAAUUUCCUGAAAGAAGCUGAAAAUUUGAGGGAGUCUGUGUCUCAGUCCCUGGGCUCUCAGAGGCCGGGGGGCUGCAGCCCCACCACAGGAGCCAGGCGGGUGGCUUCCCUGCUGCUGCCUCUGGGGGCCCUGGUCUGGGCCCUUCAUUAGAAACAUCUGCUCCUGGUGGCAAUCCCAGGGCGGCCUGAGGGCUCCGUGAAGUUUUCAGGCAGGGCUGGGGCGGUGGGGACACACGACAUCCACAUGGCACUUCCAGAGUGGGGAGAGGCUGAGUGAGGAGACACGAGAGGCCCUGACACCACUCGGUGCCAAUGAGGUGACCCUGCCUCCUGGCUUUCAGGAUGGUUCCCACUGCUGUCCCCACCAGUGAUGAGCCCAUGUCUUGUUCGUGUCAGGCAGAACACUCCAAUGUGAGGCUGGGGAAAGCAGUCUGGUGACUCCGUAGGGGCAUUCCCUAGGGCUUCUGAAAUGUAGUGCCCAUGGCUGGUGGCCAGUCCUGCCUCCUCCAAAUGGCCGCGGCCACUGCUGUGGCCUGUGGCCUGUGGGUGGGAAGAGUGGGAGACAAUUUGGUUGUUGCCUUUUCACCCCUGCUCUGCUUGGUAAUUUUUUGUUGUGUGUUGUUUUUGAAGGGGGAGGUAGGUGGGUGGUGCAGGAUGAGAACCAAAAAAGUAAAAUCCUGACCCUUCAGAGCUUGGUCCUCCCAUUUCAGACAGGCCAGGGUGGACGUCGGCUGAUAGGCUUUUGUUAACACGCUUUCGCCCUCUGACCUUGGGGUGCUGAGUUCUGAGGAAUGAAUGCACUCAUCCAGCAUUGCCCCACACAGGUCCUGGCUCAGUGGGCUCGGGGUGUGCAUACAGAGAUGCUCGGCCAGUGGCAGAGGUCUUUUCUGAGCCCCCAACACAUCUCCCCCAUUCCUCCCUCAUUGCAGGAAUCCAGAACCCAUGUCUAUUUGGAGGAGUUUCACCCGUAAGUGCGCCUCCCACUCAGAUACCAGCCCACCUUGGGCCAAGCAGGGCCUGGUGGGGUAGAGGUGGGGUGUGUGUGUGUGCUAGGAUCUCCCAAAGCCUUUUCCUGUGUUUGAACAACAUGCUUACGAUUGUAGGCCUAUCGCAGGUCUCAGGCAAGGAGUCGACUAAAUCCAUCGCAGAAAUGACUCACUUUAAACUCUUAACAGGGCAGGCUGAGAGCCCCUGGAAGGGAAGAGCAAAGCAGGGAUUUUUCUGUCUGCCACUCCCCACCGCUGAAGGACAUGAGAGAGAAGGGGCAAAGGACCGGGCCCAGCUCUCAUAGAGCUUCUGCCCACCUCCAAGUUCCUGUCCUGCCCUUGGCGUGGCCAAGAGGAGGGAGGCUUCCCGGUGCCAUUUUAUCGUGCCUCUCUCUGGACUAAUCACCUUUAGUCUCCAGAUUAAAUAAAAUUAAGCAACUCUGGAGCGUUUCACCAGGGUUACAGCAGCAGGAGCUGGAAUACACAAGCCAGCUUCAUGGCUUUCUAGAACUCCAGGGGAGAGGCACCAUUUUGUUCUCUCUUCCUCCUCAACUGCAGGGAAGGAGGGGCUGGGGAAAGGGGGGUGGGGAGUCACGCUCACAGAAUGCCUGCUUGGAAGCAGAGCCAAGGGGGGUUAAAAAAUUCGGGGAGGACAACUGGAGAUACAGUCCACUGAAGGCCCCACAGACAAAGGGAAAGACGAUGGAAAAAGAGGAGGUACGUGGGUCCAGAAAAAAGGAAGGCAGGAGAGAAAAGGCAGACCACAGUGGCUGGGGGAAUGUCAGAGCCAACCCCUGGUCAAAGGCCAAAUUCAUUUUGUCUGAGGUGUUGCUGGGAAAAAGGCCGGUGGUGGUGAUGGUGGGGUGUGUGUGUGUGUGUGUGUGUGCCUGCCUUUGUGUGUGCAUGAGACAGGAGCCUGUGUACCUACACAUACACACACACACACACACACACACACACAGCUAUUGGGUAGGUCUGUGCCAGAAGCUGCUGCAUUCCUCUUAACCCCAAAGCCAGCCCUCUUUCCAAAACGCUUUCUCAUUAUUUGCAGGCACAUUUCCCCCCACCACACUCGGCUCUUGUUUCUAUAUUUCUAUGUGCUUGCUGCACUCGAGACUCUUCCCUGCUCUGUAAUGCAACUGUAGAAACACCUGCAUUUUAUUAAUGCUGCCUGGAGCCGGGUAGGGCUGGGCCCCUCUGCUCUCACCCCCUGCUCUCCUUCUCCACCACGCUCAGUGAAGCAAAGCACCAGCGUUAACCCUGUGUGGCUGGGUCUCUGUCCCGGAGCCCUGGGUACCCUGAGGGGUGCAGACUGUGCGAAGAGGGGGUGACCUGCAACGUCCCUGAGCUGACUUAGCAUGCGUUCAGGAACCGCCCCGACUCCCUGCUUUCCUUGUCCUAAACUUCUGAUCUAUUUCUCUUAUCACUGCUCCUCAGUUUCUCUCUCCAGAAUGUGAGGACACCAUUUUGUCUUGGAAGGAAUCCUGGCAAACUUCUAAGAGAAACUCCUUAAGAAGCCUGGCCCUUUAAGUAUCUACUCCAUCCUCUUGAGGAGCCAUUGAGACUAAACCAUUCCAGAAAAAUAGCUGCUUUCCUCUUUAAAAUAUUUUAAAUAAGGAAAGCAUAAAGAAUAAAAAUGGCCCAUAAUCCUAUCACCCCGAGAGUCCUGUUAACAUUUUUUUUUAAUGCAAUGCACGCACGUGGCUAAAACAGAAAAGCUACGAGGUAUAACAUGAAACUUAAGUUUUUCUUCCCUCAGACCACAGUUGUUCCUCCCAAAGGUAAUAAUCAUUAACAGUUUCUUGUGGAUCCUUCCAGGGAAAGAAUUUGGGUAUAUAUUGACAUCUUGGUUUUUUUUUUUUUUUAAUUAAAAAAAAAGUCUGGAAUUCUUGCCAUAUCAGCACAUGGAGAACCCCUUUGUUCUUUUUAAUGGUUACAUGUUAAUUUGUAGUAUGGCUGCACCAUAACUUAUUAACCAGUCUCCUAGUAAUGGGCUCGGAGGCUGCUUCCAGUUUAUAAACUUACAAACAUUGCUGUAGUGAGGAUCUUUGGACACAUGCCUUGGGUAUACGUGAAUGAGUAUAUAAGCAGGGAGAUUCCUACCAGGGCAGUUGCUGAAUCAAAGGAUGUGUUUAUUUAGCAUUUGUCUACUCUUUUUUAAAAAGAGGUGUUUUUUUUUUCCCUGCCCUUCUCCAUUUUUUUUUCUUUCUGUCAGGCAAACUCCUGGUCCUCAGAAUCUGGCCCAAAUUUCAUCUCCCAUGUGAGGCCCUCCCUGAUUGAUCUGGGAGCCCGCUGGCAUCCUCUUCCACGCUUCCUUAACUCCCUUACCUAAGCCUUAUUGUAAUUCAAUUUUUUAAAGUGUUUGCUCUCCACACAGGAUUGCAAUAUGAGCGCAUUGACAUCUUUUCUCUUGGAGCACAAUGCUUUUGUCUCUUGAAAAUUUUUCUUGGGGGGGCACCUGGGUGGCUCAUUUGGUUAAGUGUAUGACUUUUGAUUUUGGUUCAGGUCAUGAUCUCAUAGUUUGUGAGUUUGAGCCCCGCAUUGGGCUCUGCCCUGACAGUGCAGAGCCUGCUUAGGAUUCUCUCUCUCUCUCUGUCUCUCUCUCUCUCUGCACCUCCCCUGAUCAUGCUCUGAAUCUCUCUCUCUCUCUCUCUCAAAAUAAAUAAAUACACAUUAAAAAAAAUUGGAGGCACUUGGGUGGCACAGUUGAUUGGGCAUCUGACUCUUGAUUUUGGCUCAGGUCAUGAUCAACAGUUCGAGCCCCUGUCAGGCUCUGUGCUCACAGCACAGAGCCUACUUAGGAUUCUGUCUCCCUCUCUCUCUGCCCCUCCCCUGCUCACAAGCUCACUCUCUCUCUCGAAAAAUAAGUAAAUGAACAUUUAAAACAUUUUUUUCUUUGUGCGAUUGCAUUCUUGGGUAUAUACCCAAAAGACCUGAAAGCAGGGACUUGAACAGAUGUUUGUACGCCCAUGUCCAUAGUAGCACUAUUCACAAUAGCCAAAAAGUAGAAACAACCCAAGUGCCCAUUGACAGGUGAAGGGAUGAAACGUACAGUAGUCUCCCUUAGCUGCUGUUUUGUUUUCCAUGGUUUCAGUUGUCUGUGGCCAGUUGUCUAGAAACAGAUGAUACUCCUGAUGUAUCUUCAGGGGGUCGGUAGUAGCCUAACACUGCGUCACAAGGCCUAGGUCAUUCUCCUCACUUCAUCUCAUUACAGGGGCAUUUUUAUCAUCUCACAUUAUCACAAGAGAAGGGUGAGUCCUGGGCAGUAAGAGAUUUUUGAGGGUCACCGUAGCCACAUAAAUUUUAUUGCGGUCUAUUGUUGCAAUUGUUCUAUUUUAAUUUUAGCUGUUACUAAUCUUUCACGAUCUCUGAUUUACAAAUUAAACCUCAUCGUAGGUAUGUAUGUAUCAGAAAAACCUUAUCUAUCUAUUCUUGAGGGAGAGGGGGAGAAGGGCAGAAGGAGAGGGAGAGGGAGAAUCUUAAGCAGGCUCCACACCCAUUGGGAGAUCAUGACCUGAGCCAAAAUCAAGAGUUGGACGCUUAACCGACUGAGCCACCCAGGCACCCCUAGGGAAAAAUGUAAUACAUACAUAUACAUAUACAUAUACAUAUAUUAUCCAUGGUUUCAGGCAUUCACUGGGGGCCUUGGAAUGUAUCUCUGUGGCUAAGGUGGGGGGACUCGUGUGUGUGUGUAUAUAUGUGUGUGUGUGUGUGUGUGUGCAGAUAUAUACAUGUAUGUGUGCAUAUAUAUAUACAUAUAUGGUUCAACCUUAAAAAGGAAUUGUGACACAUGCUACCACAUGGAUGAACCUUGAAGAUAUUGUGCUAAGUGAAAUAAGCCAGUCACACAAAAAAGGGAAAUUUUGUGUGAUUCCGCUGGUAGGAGGUACAUAGCAUAGUCAAAUUCAUAGAGACACAAAGUAGGAUGUGGCUGCCAGAGGCCGGGGAGAGGGAAUGGGGACUUAGUGUUUAAUGAGCACAGAGCUUCAGUUUGAGAAGAUGAAAAGUUCUGCAGAUGGACAGCGGUGAUGGCUGCACGACACCGUAAAUGUGCCCGAUGCCACUGAAUUGCACACUCAAAAGUGGCUAAAAUGAGUAAACUUAAUGUUAUGCAUAUUUUACCACAAUAAACAAUUUUUUUCUUCAUGUGGAAAUGUACCGUCUCAUAGACUCAGUUCCCUGCAAGCUCUCUCCGUGGGUCGGUGUAACCAUCCCCUUACUUCAGGGCAAUGCUGACCUACCCAGGACUGGAGAGUACUUAUCCUAUUUGCAGAUAUUUCCAGGGAAGGGAGCCCAUUACAUUAUUAGGCAAUCUUUUCCAGUGUCUCAAAACCCCAGACAUUCUUGGUACCAGACCUUUCCUGCUGCACCUGAAGUUAAUUUUUUCUUGGUCAGUAAGUGCUUUGUCAGCCCACUGACUCUUCACACACUCAGAGGCUCUUGUUACAUCACCCCCCUGCGUCCGAGCUGAGGGCACCAAGAACGGGCUCGUGGGUGGACUUCGAGGGCCUCGUGAGACUUCCUCUCAUGCUUGCGUCUCCCUGGCCUGAUGGAAGGAGCCCAGCCACCUCUCACCUCAUUUGAGAUGCAGUUGGUUGGGUACUAGGGUUUUCUCUUGCUUCUCCCCUCUGUACCCUUGUGUCGAAGGCCUUUUGCUGCCAGAGGGUGGAGAUCCCCAAAGGACAGGGGCAGACCCGAUGGCUCAUUUCAGCAAGCCCCUUGGCCUCCCCUUUGACCACAGACUGCAUGGCACCUUAAUCAGCUGCUUGGAAGGUAUACUUGGCAGGUAUGUUCUCCACGGCCUGGAAGAUGCUGACCUUGUCAGCUUAGAAACAUCAAAGGGCUAAUGAGGGAAAACAGGGGUUGAGAAAGACACCAUCACCUGGGUGCCUGUUGACCGCAGGCUUGCAAGACUGACACAGCUGAGAAAUGUUGUCAGGAACUCGGAGGAAGUGGAGCCUUCUCUGUUGUGAGGACCUGCUCCCAACCCCCCUCUGGGGCACAGGAAGGGGAGGGGGCGAAGCUAAAUGGUGGCCCAUGCUCAGUGACUCAGAUGUCACUGCCACCGCAAAGGGAAAUCCGUGUGGGGGUGGGCAUCUCCAGAGACCUCCCUCACCUGUGAUUCAGGGGAUAAUAACAUCACUCCUGUCAGCCUCGGGACAUUUGUCAAUGGGCUUGUGUUGAUGUUGACAUUUUUCAUUUCAACUCAUGGCUUAUAUGAAGGACUUGGCCUUGAGUAAAGGCUGAGCCCUGAGGAAGAAACAGCCCUCAUAUGUCCUGCAACUAGAGUGGAAAUGAGGAAGGAGAGUCCCUGCGGGUCAAUCCAGUAACUGGGGUUUCCUACGAGCUGGGUGAUGGACACUGACAUUAAUGCAGUUUGUGCAUCAUAAGGUGAUCUUGGUCCUUUGUGUUUCCCAGAGAACUGGGAACAGAGUGAAUCCCAGAUGCCCUGGGAGAAUUUUCAUUAUGUUCAGGGGGCUGAGGGGCUGUUCUCCAUCAUUUUGGGAAUGCUAGUAUUAGUAUUUGGUUGUUUUUGUUUCUUUUAAAAAAUCACCAUGUGUGGGUUUUCUUGUCGUAUUUGCUCCUAUCACAUCCUCCAACCCCCAGACUCACCCGCCUGAGGAGCUGGCUUCAGGAAACACAAAUCAUGUGCCGCAGAAGGUAUGGGAGCGGUUGCCCAGGUUUCGUGUGAAGAAAGGGACAGUAUCUGUGUUAUUCACCUGUGAAGUCCCAGGACCUUGCACGUUGCAGGCAUACAGAGGCUCCAAUUCAUAGUUGAUACAUCUUACAGAGAGGGGACAAUAGUCACAGAGAGUUCCUUCCAGUUGCCUGAUAUUCCGCAGCAAAUCGGCAACGAGGCGGGGAGGUGAACUUCCCCUUCCAACUCACAGGCCAGUUCUCUGCAGGAAGUCAUGCCUGUUUCUUUUUAAGCAUCCUGUGGAUGGCUUUGGGUGUCAAGUAGCUCUCCCGGAGGGGAAGCAGUGGACAGGCUUGAAGCUCAGGACUGGCUUUGAGACUGUGCCUCUGACAGAAUGGGCAGGGCUCAAAGGCCUUGAAGAGCCGGGAAGGCCCUUCCUGAAGCAAUCGGCAGGGGGAUCGACUUGGUCCUUGGGGCUGGGGUUCCCUUGGUCUAGAACCGCCAAACGGCCAAAUAUUGGGACUCCGGUUACUAGAGGUGCUCCUGGAAAGGGUCUUCUUGCAGCCUGGCCCUUGGAGCUGAGGCAGGGCUGGGCCCUCUCCUCUAGGACAGGCUCCAGAGAGCCCAGAGCAAAAGGGACAGUGCAUCUGCCUUGUUCCUUGGGGCUCUGUUCUCUUUCUCAAGGAGAAGGCUUCUUGCUUAUGCGUUUGUCAACUGGGUCGGGAAAGUCUCCUUCCCCAUGGACUGGAUCAGAACUUGAAUAGGAGGGAUAUCGUCUUUCCAAGAGUGCUCUGUACCUUGGGUUGACCAUCCUUUGUGUCCUGGUCCUGAGAUCAUGGGACUGAAGCGGGAACCGAACCGGGCUUUAGGACACCUUUGUUUGCCGGGCCUUGCUUCUAGAAAGCUAAUCUAGGACAACACCGGAGACUGUAGGCAGCUCCGGUCCUGCCCCAGCCCCGGUUCUUCAGACCUCCCCAGACUCAGACAUCCUUCCACACAAACUCUUGUUGUUCCAUCUGUGGCCCAAACAGCCCGAGGCCUGGGACAAGGGUGGUUUCGCUGAGGCCAUCAGAAAAGCUUACGAAGCGUGAUCGGCCGCUGGCUGGGCUCAUGCCGCCUCACUGCACUGGUGUGGCUGCCCCAGGUUCCCUAUGGGACAAUUAGCUCACCCACUUAAAGUCCAUCAAAGGACUUGUUCAAUAUUCCGGUCCCCUUUCUGUUCAUUUGCCCUGUCCUCCUGCCACCCUCUCCCACUGCCCCUCCUCUUUUCCAGCUCUCCGCUCCAUGUACGACAAGGACCCUGAGGCCUGGAACAGCUCACAGAGCUCGCUUUUCUCCAGCCAGGCUCCAUGGCUGCGAGGAGUGUGAAGGCGUUUUAGGGAUAAGUUGAGAGACGGUCAGAGAGUGCUGAGAAGUUACGCCUGUUUCUUCUUUCUUGUCCUUUCCCCCUCUGGGGCUGACAGACCAGAUUUUUUUUUCUUUUUUUACAGUACAUUUUGGCAAGCCCCAUUUUUUUCUGACAGAAAAAAAUAACAGGCAUAUUUUGGGCGAUUACUCAACUGGGGUCCUUUGUGACAGGAUAUGCAGCUGCGUGACUAAUGGAGCUGGCUUUCUCCUGGCUUCCUUCCCCUUUCAGAGCUCUUGUUUACUGCCCUAUACCAAAAAAAAAAAAAAAAAGCCAUAAGCUACAGAUUUUUAUAUAAAAAAAUGCCUUGUGAGAUACUCAAAGGCAAUAAAUCCUUUGGAUAUUCCAUUUCUAGGGCUGCAAACUCCCCGCCCUCUCCCACUUUUUCUUUUCAAAUGCUUAAGCUCUUGACUCACAACAUGUGAAUCUUCUUCUCCCACCCCCACGUCCCUGCUUUCUUCUGAACAUAUGUCCAGCAGAUCGUGUGUGUGUGUGUGUGUGUGUGUGUGUGUGUGUUUGGAGAGGAGAGCAAGAUGGGAACCAUAUUUUUGGUGCUUAACUCAGCAAUUGCUAAAGGAAGGAAUAAUGACUUCCAGGGGCCUCGGGAUCUUUUUUUCCAAGGCCUGUGUGUUUCCAUAAUCUAUGACAAUUUUGUGGUGUAAGCAAAAGUUAUUACAAAACAUAGAACUAGCCUAAUGAGGAAGGGUAUGUUCUACACAGGGAAGGACUGUCUCUUUAUAGAGGAAAUCCAAAUUUUGGCUGGCUUUGGAAUUGAGAAUCCUUGGGCUUCCCAUAGAACUUUUGGAAGAGACUCUCUUCAGCCUCUAGUGUUCGGCAACUGGGACUGACUUUUUAGUUUUUCCAGAGAUCAAAACAGCUUUUCAUUUCAGAAAGUGUCAGGCCUGUGGAUGGGAAAAACGAACUAGCUAGUCAGGUUUGAUGGAGACAGAUUGGUGUAGAUGAGGUGUAUGAUUUGUGGCCAAACGAUGAGUUUGAGGCUCAGUUGGGAUCUGGAAUAAGUCAUUUAACACCUGUAGGUCUCUGUUGCUCUCAUGUGAAAAUUGGGAUAGUGUCCCCUCCCCAUAGGUGGCUGACAACAAAAGUGAGAUGACAGAAGUCCAUGACAUGGGAGGGAAGUGUGAAGAAGUAUGCACAGUGACGCUUCUUCAUCCAAAGCACCACGCAAGCUUUAAACAGAGGAGAGAGGCUUGUUCCAUGACAACUGCCCACCAUGGGGACAGAGGCUUUUUUAUAUAGCGGCCCAGGACACAGUCUUCUGGGAUGUUUCUGAGGCCGGUAUCGCCUCCAAGUUUGCCAAGUCCCUAGUCAUCUUCCACAUGGGUCUCAGGAUCCUAACUUUGAUCACAGGCCUUUCCUCAUCAGGAAACUCUCAUCAAAACCAGACAAAGGCACCACUAACCUCAUCUUGCCUGCCUUUUCUUCUGUAGCUAGCUCAUCCUUUGCCCACACACUGCCCCAGAGAUGUGAACGCUGGAUGCGGUUUACUCUAGCCCUUGGUCCAACAUUUUCCCUGACGUUGCUUGGAGGCCCCCUCCUCCUUGACCCUCCUUCCAAUCCUCUUCCUGCUCCUCUCUGUUCAACCUUGCUCAUUUGUCAUUUCCUAGAAAAGGUCACUGAAAACUUAGCUUUUCUUAGAGUCUACACUGACUAAAGACCCCUCAAGUGGACACCCCAAACCCUCCAGCAAACCCCAGCAACUAUCUUUCUCACGCCCCAUAGCUCAAGUCUAACGUCCUUGGCAAAGGCAGUUGACUUGAUUUUGCCACAGGGUAAACUGAGGCACCAGUCAGGGAGCCAACUGGCCAGGGAUAACAUUGUUAAGUCUUUGACACAGACAGGAAUAGAAACCCCACAUCCUGAUUCCAGUUUGCCUGGAGCUUAAAGAGGCACCUUAGCUUGGAUAUCCCAGAAUAGUUUCUCCCAGGCUGACCAGCUGUGCCGUGAUGUGUUGCAAGGGUUAUUUUUUGUCUUGGCUUAGCUCUUAAAAAAACACCCCAAGCUUCCUAAAAUCGGCCUAAGAAAAUCCAUUUCUCACAAAGUCAUUUUCUUGCCAAGUAUAAACCUAGUAUAUUACAUCAUGGAUGCCUUUGGGCCUCACUCUCAGCUUACAACGACACUCAGGUAUCUGAAUUAAAUUCAGAAAUCACAGUUUAUUGAAGGAAACAGAUCAUUAAGUCACUCCACUGGACCGAAGCCGUCGACAUUGCUUAUUUGGAUAAGCCGAACGUUGAAUCAUGUUCUCUUGGUUCAGGCGGACCUGGACCUAGCCGGGCGCUAUUUAACGCCCAGGUGUGGCCAUCAGAUGGCAGAUGCCCAUGGGGGCUAAUGGGAAGAGGCAGAGGUGUGCAGGAGCUGGCUGGCAUUGGCUGGUUGUUAAAUUUUCAGGAAUUUUGUGGGCCGGUUGUUAAACACAGCCGUUAUGAAAAUUAAAUUAUAUAAACUUACAAUCGAAUACAUCGUAUUCAAAACAAAAGUAAUAAAUAUUAAAAAACAGAUCACAUCCUAAUUAUUUUUGCUUCAACUUACUAUUGUCCGUGCUUUUGAUUUACAUGUGUCUUACAUCCAUACGGCGGGAAUAUCGUACAAUGGUAUGUCGCCAUUCGUCUCUCCCCAACUCCACGUCCGGCCACCUCACAGUGGGAUGUUUGGAGUCAGCCACGGUGAGAAUAUUUAUGCCACAGAAAUUGGCAAACUCUACAAAUCAGGGCUUGCUUUAUUGUUUCGUUGAUCGUCUAGAUUUAAGAAAGUGAUACAGAAAACACUAACAAGGUAGGUAACCUAUAGAAGCGUGUCAUAUCUGUAGCAGUGAUGUUGUGAGUCACACAAGGAACUGAGGUAAUGUUCUUCCAGUAUCCAAAAGUAACCAUCCACUUCAACAGUUGCUCCGUUGUUGACCAAAGAGUGAAGUUCUGAAAUACGUCUUUGUUGUUUUACUGUUGUCUUACUUAUUAUUGUCAAUGAGAUGACCAACCAACAUUCAUGUCAGCUCUACUCUUGGAAAGCUGGCUGUUACACGCUUACCAUCGCCUCCUGGAAAGGAGUGUAUAUGGGCUGCUCUCUUGGGGGUCCCGGAGGGAAGACCACCAUAGAAUACCUGCAUCUCAGCAGUAAGGAGCAUGUCUGAGGGGCAGCUGGGGAAGAGGAAGGACUUAGUGCUGUGAAGGGACCAACACAGAUGAUCCAGUGUAGAACCAGCAGUCCGAGAUGAGCCCAUCUGAGCAGGAGUGUGGAAAAUAUAGUAAGAUAGGCUGGGUUGAAAUAUACCACUGGACACCAACGAGGUUAGACAGUAGAAAAGCCAUCGUGACUUCUACAUUCAAGGUGAGGAUCGAUACUGUAUAUUCACAGCGCUUUAAAGUUCUCAACGCCUUGUUUGUCCACGAGCUCAUGUGCCCACUGGAACAGAACCAGGAGGUCGAUGGGUAAAUUAGCUCUCAGCAUCAUACCCAUUUUACAGAUGGGAAACUGAGGCAAUUGGUGGCUAAGUAGUUCACCCAAGGUUACUCUCUCCAUAUCAAGGGCUAAGCUGGUGCUUGAUGGAGAAACAGGAAUAGUUCUUUGGGGUCAGACACAUCUGGGUUAAAAAUCCAACCUUGUUAUUUAUGUAACUUUGGUAAAGUUACUUUGCCCUUUAAAAUCUCUUUUUUUUAACUUACAAAAUAGGGACAACAAUGUCUAGGUCACAAAUUUGCAGUGAGGGUUGGUUUAAAUGAGAUAAUAGGUAUGGGGAACUGGUACUUAGGACACCGUUGAUAAAUGUUCAUUUCCUUCUCCCUCCUACCACAAUGUUUUAGAAUUAUUUAUAUUUGAUUUUGAAAUGAAGUAUAUGACUCUUUUGGCUAAUGUAUCUUUCUAAUUAUAAUUUUUAGGUUUAAGUGGAAUUAUUCUGCAUAGUUUUAGGCAAAACAAAUUAGAGGAGGUAGGGGCAGGGGCAGGGGCAGGGGCAGGGAGGAGGGGGGGUAGGCCUGAAGAGAGCUAGCCCAGGAUUCAGAUUUGGUAAAAGGCUCCCUCACUCACUGGUAAUGGGAGAGAAUCCACACACGCUGUCAUGUUCAGCAAGGCGUCUCUGUGCACCAGGACCUAGAGCUCCAGGUGGCCUGCCCCUUUCUUGACCUAGGCUUCCACAUCACCACCGGCAGAAGUGGGGAGGUGUGGCCUCUUAGUCCUCUGUCCCCUGAAACACUCACAGCCUCACCACCAUGCUUUGCCCUGGGACAAGGCCGACCCCACAGGAAGCACAGGCCUCAGGCCAUUCCUCAUCCAGUAGAGAGGCAGCCUUCUCACCCACCAAGGACACCUGCUCCUUCUGCCCAGAUUUACUUUUCUUCUUAGCACCUGUCUGUCUAUGCCAAGCUAUGUGAUUUAUAAAGCUGAACGCUCCACGAGGGCAAGGCUUUGUGUUGAUUUCAUUUGGGACCUAGAACAGUGACAGAGAACGUGGAAAGCUCUCACUUAAGUAGUUACUCAAAGAGUAAAAUGGGUCAUCACCUCACUGCCUGCCUCACCUCACUUCUCUGUUUCAAAUGAUAGUCCAUUCUUUGAUGGAGGUCGGUGGACUCAGAUUUGGCUCAGGCCUCACAAGCAUGAACUGUGGUGGUGGACGGUAUUCUCAGAGAUCUAAGGGGAACUCCAUGAAGAGUCAGGGUUCCCUGAGGUCGGGCAGCUGACUGACCCACAGGGACUGAACGAGGCAAUAGAGCUCUGUGGUUAAGAACGUGUGGGUUAAAAUCCGGCCCCUACCACUAUAGCUAUGUAAUCUUGAGCAAGUUAUCUUCUCCCUCUCUGAGUCUCAUUUUUCUUAUCUGUAGAAUGUGGAUAAAAAUAUCCGUGAGGUUAUGGCAUGGAUUAAUGGGAUAAAACAUGGUGUGCCCUUAGCACAAAGCCAGGCAUGGAGAAAGGGAGCCAGUAUCCCUCACCUCACAAAGGAGGUGGAAGACGGGGCAGAGGAGCACGGCCCGGGGAGCUAGGACAAGCCAAGCACGCUCACAGCCUCGGCUUCUGCAGACACAGCCAAAGCCUGACCAGCCUGGCAUGGGGCACUGCAAAGGGGCUUUGGAACAAUGACACUGGCCCAGGAGGAUCUGGCUGAGACAUGGAGCUGUCACCAUCACAACCUCGCCGGACCCAGAGGCUGCUGGCAUGACUCCAGUGACUUUGCGAAUGUAUGGUGGCUAACACAGAUUGAUCUCCUUGGGCAAAAGAAACACAAAGGCACCUCAACCCGUAGGAGAGGAUGCGUGCAUCCGCGUGCAUGCGGGAGGAUACCACGGCUGAAGCCAUAUCCAUGGUUAAAGGACACAGAGAUUCAUGCAAUGCACAGAGUUGAAGACAGCAGGGUUAAGAGCACAAGGGAGGAGAAAUGGGGCAAGUGGGGAGGGGAGGCCUCGUUUUCCUUGCACAAGACAGUCACGGUUUCCUUCUGAGGGGUGGGUACUCAGGGGGCAUUGAGGGCAGCGGGCGUGGUGAAAGGGCAGGAGAAGAGACAUCAAGGACAGGCAGUGACGUGUGAAAAGGUCAAGCCCACGUGAAGAGGACUGGGCAGGGGGAACAGGGCAAUUGGGGAGUGCACAAGGAAGCUACAAGCCUGUGCAGGGCCUAAUACACCAAUCACUAGGCGAACAGUCUGCCCCUGACUGAGUUCCCUGGGACCAGCCCGUUUUAGCCCAAGAGUCCCUCUUCUGCUUGGUGUUUUAAAUGCGGUGGGUGCUCAAGACUGUAUGAUAUAUGGGAAGGUGGAACUAGAAUAGGGGCCAGGAGAUUUAGUUUGAGGUUGCUGAAAUGUCAUCUUCUAGCUUCGACCUUGUGCCUCAGCUUCAUCUUCUGCGACACCUGGAGGACCAUGCCUGGCUCCCCCACCUGGUACUCACUGUCACGGUGAAUGAUAAGCACUGAAAGUAUGUAGUCAGUCUCACAGGCCUAUUAACCCCUGGGGCCUUUGAUUCCGGGCGCUCCUCAGACCACUCACUUCAGCUCCUCAGACCACUCACUUCAGCAAGCCCACCCGACUAGUUUGGCCCCACGAGAAGAGGGGGAGCUGCCCUGGUUGGUUCUGACCUCCCGCUGGCCUGCCUGCAAGUGGAGACAAAGUCCCUGGAUCCUGGGCGCUGAGGCUUAUCGAUCAGUCGAUGCAGCUCAGAACUAGGUGCGUGAACAGACGCCUGCGAAGCAGUCUGGACUCUUUGCUUGAAAGCCAUCCGAGUGAGCCAAAGGAUGCCUGCCCUCUCUGCAUUCCUCAGCAAGCACCGCCACCCCACCUCCCCACGCCUGCCUCGCCCUGGAAGCGCCUGUGCAGGUGUCGACACGUACACUUUUCUGGACGCUGGCUCUCCCCUGACAGUAUGCAACGCAGGUGCACAUUCCACUCUCCUGCAGUUACCUUUGCAACUGUGGACACGCCACAUUUCCUUAAUCUCCCGGGUCUUAGUUUCCAGAGCUACAGAGUAGGAGCCACUGACACUCUAAACCUCCUGCCUACUGGGAAAUCUUCCAAAAGCUAUUGUGGAAGUUGUAGAUGCUCUGGGACCGCUAUGGGCCAGCCUGAAUUCCCGCACCAAAGGCGGCCACUUCCCUUGUUCUGGUUCAGGGCCUUUGGGGUCCCCAACUGUCACCUACUGUGAGGGUCUAGAGCCAGCCUGCCAAGAUGGGGUUCUAGCUUCUACUUACUAGCUGUGUGAGCUGGGCAAGUCACUUUAACCUCUCGGUGCCUCUGUUUUCUCAUCUCUAAAAGAAAGAAUCGUGGCGGCAUUUACCUCAUAGGUUGUUACAUACAUAGCAUGAGCUCAUACCCUUAAGUUACGAGUUAACACAAAUGUGUGAGUUCAUUCGUGAGUGUAAAGUGCUUAAACCUGUGCCUGGCACACAGUAAGACUAAAUAAGUGAUACAUAAUAAUAACAGUUACUAUUAGCCAUUUUCCACCCCCAGUUAUUGCUCUGGUCCCAUUUUCCUGACUUGCUCACCAUAGCCUUAGGGCCCGGCCCUGUUUACCCUAGGCUUGCUACUACCAUGAACACCCCAAGACCUACGGAAGCAGUGGGUGGAAAGAAGGUUGCAUAAAGUAGGAUGGGAUAGGGGGUUGAGAAGAGAAUGUGGCUGCUCUCAGGGAGGGCCGGGGAGAUGAGAAUGGCCUAGAAAAUGGGAUAGGAGGAACAAUGCCUAGGCCGGCCUGCCGGGGGCCUGAUAGCCCGAUGCAGUAGCAGACUGUCUGUGGACUUGUUCUCAUAUCUGGGGUCCACCUGCACCUCUGUUUUAGGGGAGUGAAGCCUUAUCUUUGUGUUUCUCUCCCGGGGUGGGAAAUCAGUAAAUGACUCUUCAAUUGAACCACAUGUGAGAGUUAGCGUGCUAACCAGCAACUGUGGUCUGUGCAUCCCAACCCGAGGCCUUUUCUGAGUACUUCUGUCGCAAGCUGGCCCAUGAGGGAAUCAGGAAUCCCCUAGACACCCAAGCAAGCUCAGAGAAUAGGAGUGCUGUCUCAUGCCCAUCGGCCUAGACUCUAGGCCACUUCCCUCUGUCAUUUCUCACCUACCCCGUGGCACCGUGUUAGGUCUGAACCAGAUAAACCCCAAAGACUUGAAAUCUCCUCAAACUAUAUCUCCCCAGGUGUUUUUAGACCCCCCUCAAGCUCCCUCUAGAUGUUAAUAACACCCCAAUCCUGAAGAUACGGUCUUAAGGAAGGGGGCAGGAAAGGCUUGCCUUGUCUACCUGCUGCCUCUCUUCUCUCUCCCCUCUGCUUGUCCUCCUGGCCUGGAAGAGCUUUCUACUGUCCCUUCCUAUCUGGAGGAAACUUCCUCAGGCUACCUGCUGUCUUUUCGGCAUUAUGACUUACAGUAAAGUUCCGUUAGUAGGUUUCCUGGCUUUGCUCUUGUUAUGUAAAAGGCAGAUUUUAAAAUUUAGGAAUCCUCUUUCCACAAAGCCUCUAGCAGCUCAUGAAAGUCAGUGUGGACCUUCCAGGCUGAGCAGUGGCCCUCGUCCCAGAUGGUGUCCUCUCUGCAAGAGGAAGCAGUAACAAGACAUGACUCACAAAGGAAAGGAAAAUACAAUGGUUUAGGAUGUUCAUUGGUUUUAUCCCCGCAUACUGAGGAAAUGAAACAUGUAUCAUGAUGCUAUUUCUGUAUAAUUUGACACAUUUGAUACUUACGCAAACGUAUUUAAAGUAAAUAGGAAGGGCACACACUAAGUGAAAGUGAUCUUUCCUGAAUGGUGGAUAUAGAUCUGAUUUUCACCUCUGUUUUUUGGCUCAAACGUAUUUUCUACAAUUAAUAUGUUACCUUAAAGUAAAAAUAAAAGGACAAAAUGGAUGACUUCUGACAUUUUAUGUGAAAUAUUUUUUAAGAUUUUUUUUUAGUAAUGUUUAUUUCCGAGAGAGAGAGAGAGAGAGAGAGAGCACGUGCACGAGCAGGGAAGGGUCAGAGAGAGAGGGAGACGCAGAAUCAGAAGCAGGCUCCAGGCUCCAGGCUCCAAGCUGUCAGCACAGAGGCCGAUGUGGGGCUCGAACUCACAAACUGUGAGAUCGUUACCUGAGGCUGAAGUUGAACACUUAACUGACUGAGCCACCCAGGCGCCCCUUACGUGAAAUUUUAUAUGAAACAUAUAAAUGUAUAUUUCAUAAAUAAAUAUGUAGGAAUAUAUGUGAAUGAACAUUUUAUAUGUAAAAAAUUCUAUAUGCCUCUUCAUUUAUAUAAUUAAAUAUUAUACAAUAGAUAACAUAAUACAUAUAAUAUACAAUAUAAUAUAUACUAUGCAUUGGUAUAUAGGUGAUUAUUGAUAGAGAAAUACUGGAAGGGAUUACAACAAAAACUAUCAACCGCUUCCCAGUUGUGUUUUUCUGUAUUUCCCACGUUUUUUUUGCACUGAGCAUUUAUUACUUUUGUAAUUUGAAGGAAAAAAAAAAAAGCUGUGUGUGUAGGCGGUUCACUUUGGUGAAAACAAAACUUGUCAAGCUAUUUUCAGAUCAUCAUUUAUGCUUGUUCUCCUGGUAAGGUUAUCUGCUUUUCUUAGCAUGAAAACAAGCACCACUUCUUUCCUGUUCAACAGCUUCUAUAAGAUGGGCUCAGACCCUGAAGUCACUACAGGAUUUGAUGUUUCAGUCUGGCCAGAUCGGGCUUGUUCAGAGAACCGGUCAGCAUGGUCUGGUGGCCUGCAGACUAACAUCUAGGUUUGUUUACAAACGGCAAAAACCCCACAUGGUAGAGCACGUUCUGGGCUUCGUUUCCAUGCACGAAGAACUCUGUCUUGUCCGUGUUGCCUGUCUGGAGGGGAUGUACAGAGGAUUGAUCAGAAACACUGUUCAUAGGCCAAAGCGAGAGAAAGGUGAAAGACGGUCUGAAGGGGGUUGUUGAGGCUGCAUCCCAACUGUCCAGGCCCCUGGGGAGAUCAACAUGCUGGUCUCUUGGUGGUUUUCUAUCCCUUCUGAUCUCCCAGACUUUCCUGAUGCUUGCGUCGCUGUUUGCAAUUUGUCCUUUGCUUUCUAGAUUGUUCUGAGAGAAAACACUGAUUUCUCCAGUUGCAUUCUGGAGUGUAUAAAUAGCAAAGUUUCGGGUUCCCACCCUCUGUUUAUGGAUGUGCCCCAGGAACUUUUACUCAGUAUAUAAAUGGGCUCCAGAGAAAGAAAGGUCUUAAAGAGGCAGAUCUAGACUGUCUGGAACCUCUGGGCCCAGAUGGGUCCAUCCGCAAACAAGGACUUACUGUAUCUCCUCCUAGUCCCGUUGCCCUUGGAAUUCUCUGAGGGAACUUCCUCUCUGCCUAGAAUUUUGAAAUUCUCCGAUGGAAGUUUGAUGUAAUGGCAAAUGUACUUUUGAGGCCUCAGAAUGUUUUCCACUCUUCACCAAUCAACCUUCCACAAAGCAGUUUUUAAAUCCUUCCCUAGCACUAAUAAGGAUUGAGAAACAAUAGAGGUUUCAUGCUCUUGUCCAAAUUGCAUGGAAAGUUCCAGGGGCUCCAGGAGGGAAGGAUGGGGAGGAGAAUAAAAACAGAACAUCACGGUCUCAGGAUGUCCAGCUUAAAAUAUUAGCCUCUGAAACUCACUGCUUCUAACAUGUCACUGAGUCUGUAAAUACCAUUCUCAUCACCUGGGGUUGUAAAGCUAACAUUGUUUAGCUUUCUGGCUUUGCAUUUAUGGUUUUGUUCGAUUGCAGGACACUGUUCACCCAACCGCCACCUUCCAUGGGCCUUUGUGGGAUUCUAGGACUAUCAGGGACUGCCUGGGAAGGAAAACUCGUUCCGCCACUGCCCCCAAGAAGGGACCACCUGGGCUCACAGUCACCGCUCACCGAACAUUCCUAUAGUUCUUCCAGGUUAUGCAUUUUUGUGAUCACUUAACUAUCUUUUCGGAUAACCAAUCAAAUCUGUAAGUAUUGCCUUAGGGUCUAUAGUGUUCAGAGCGCUGGGGAGGCAUCCUUGGAGCACACAUUCUGAGAUAAGGUUGGGGGACACUCAGGCUUGGGGAGACAAAGGCCAAUACAUCUGAAACAGAGAACGUGUGUGAUAGUUUUCAAUAAGAAGGUAAGUUCUAUUUGUGUGUGGAGUUGACAAAAAGAGCCAUGAGUGGAGAAGGAGAGGGCAUGGAGACUCCAGGUUUCCCAGAGGUUUGGUCAAGAGUGGGGGAAGGGGAGAGGGUAGGACUGGAGCUGGAUCUCAGCCGAUGGGUAGCAUCUAGAUAGAUACUGUAAGCAGAGGGAAUGGAAGGAGCAAGGACAAAGAGCAGAGAUGGAGCAGGAUACAGGGCGAGUUUGUAGGUUUGGCCAAGGUGGAGUUCAUGGGGGAAGGCAUGGCAGAGCAGACUGGAACAGCGGUAGCGUAGGGCCACAUCACGGAAGGCUUUCAAAGCUUCCUUUUCACUAUAAGUUCCCGUGUGCUCUUUUCCAGAUAAAGACAUGUUACCAGCAAGGACUUGUCCCAAAAUCUGACAUUUGCUCCAGACCUCUUCCUCCUGCCUCGUCCCUCAUACUGACCCAUUAGUAACGCCCCCCAAAGCACUGACCAACCCAGGACAGGUGGUUUGCCCAGUUAUCAUGGGUGCCUCAUGGACAGUCCAGCCAGCUUUCCCUCAGCAGGGAGCUUCAUUUUGCCAACAGAGCUGGACUGGGAAGAGCCUG
rnacentral:lncRNA from 1 species